ensembl:lncRNA
GGAACUAUGGGACUUUGAUGUCUGAAGACUUACCCAGAAUGCUCAAAAUGAACUGUGUUUCCUUCCUUGCAGUCCAGUGAUGCAUAUCAUCAUUGCUGCCUUGUAUGUGGUGAUUGUUAUAGUUCUUUUAAUACCUACGAGGAUAUUCCGGAGCUAUUUUAGGAGGGGUGAUUAGACCUAUUGUGGUUACAGAAGAAGCAGUAGGCUUCAUCCUGUAUAAAAGCAGAAGAGAGCAACAACGUAAAGACAGCGAAACGCAUACCGAAUUUCCCAGAGGAACCCACCCGAGGGAUUAAUAAAGUUUUAUCUCAUCUUUUAUCUUAUCUUACAUGAGAAAAUCUGUUUGAACUACUCUGUAAAAAAUCAGUUGUUUGAAAACAGUGUUAUGGUCAUGAAGAUACAAUCAGAUGUCUAUAAUGACUCUAAUUAAACGGC